rnacentral:rRNA from 1 species
UGGGAACCUUCCCUAUGGUUCGGAAUAGCCCAGGGAAACUUGGGGUAAUACCGAAUAAGCCCUUCGGGGGAAAGAUUUAUCGCCAUUGGAUGGGCCCGCGUCGGAUUAGCUAGUUGGUGGGGUAACGGCCCACCAAGGCGACGAUCCGUAGCUGGUCUGAGAGGAUGAUCAGCCACACUGGGACUGAGACACGGUUCAGACUCCUACGGGAGGCAG